ACGGCUCAGUAACACGUGGCUAACCUACCCUUAGGACGGAGACACCCCCGGGAAACUGGGGCUAAUACCCGAUAGGUGAGGAGGCCUAGAAUGGUUCUUCGCUGAAAAGGCGUUGAAACCAUGCUUUUCAACGUCGCCUAAGGAUGGGGCCGCGCCCGAUCAGGUUGUUGGUGAGGUAACGGCUCACCAAGCCUAUAACCGGUACGGGCCGUGAGAGCGGGAGCCCGGAGAUGGGCACUGAGACAAGGGCCCAGGCCCUACGGGGCGCAGCAGUCGCGAAAACUCCGCAAUGCGCGAAAGCGUGACGGGGCUACCCCGAGUGCCGUCCGCUGAGGAUGGCUUUUCCCCGGUGUAAUGAGCCGGGGGAAUAAGGAGAGGGCAAGACUGGUGUCAGCCGCCGCGGUAAUACCAGCUCUCCGAGUAGUAGGGACGAUUAUUGGGCUUAAAGCGUCCGUAGCCGGCUUAGCAAGUCUCCUGUUAAAUUCAGCGACCUAAUCGUUGAGCCGCGGGAGAUACUACUAGGCUAGGAGGCGGGAGAGGCCGACGGUAUUCCCGGGGUAGGGGUGAAAUCCUAUAAUCCCGGGAGGACCACCAGUGGCGAAGGCUGUCGGCUAGAACGCGCUCGACGGUGAGGGACGAAAGCUGGGGGAGCGAACCGGAUUAGAUACCCGGGUAGUCCCAGCUGUAAACGAUGCGGGCUAGGUGUUGAGGUGGCUACGAGCCACUUCAGUGCCGCAGGGAAGCCAUUAAGCCCGCCGCCUGGGGAGUACGGCCGCAAGGCUGAAACUUAAAGGAAUUGGCGGGGGAG
rnacentral:rRNA from 1 species